rnacentral:rRNA from 1 species
AUUGAACGCUGGCGGCAUGCCUUACACAUGCAAGUCGAACGGUAGCAGGUUAAGCUGACGAGUGGCGAACGGGUGAGUAAUGUAUCGGAACGUGCCCAGUCGUGGGGGAUAACUGCUCGAAAGAGCAGCUAAUACCGCAUACGACCUGAGGGUGAAAGCGGGGGAUCGCAAGACCUCGCGCGAUUGGAGCGGCCGAUAUCAGAUUAGGUAGUUGGUGAGGUAAAGGCUCACCAAGCCGACGAUCUGUAGCUGGUCUGAGAGGACGACCAGCCACACUGGGACUGAGACACGGCACAGACUCCUACGGGAGGCAGCAGUGGGGAAUUUUGGACAAUGGGCGCAAGCCUGAUCCAGCCAUGCCGCGUGCGGGAAGAAGGCCUUCGGGUUGUAAACCGCUUUUGUCAGGGAAGAAAAGGUUCUGGCUAAUACCUGGGACUCAUGACGGUACCUGAAGAAUAAGCACCGGCUAACUACGU